UAUGGAGGGUGCGAGCGUUGUCCGGAUUUAUUGGGUUUAAAGGGUGCGCAGGUGGCCCGGUCAGUCAGUGGUGAAAUGCGGCCGCUCAACGGUCGAACUGCCAUUGAUACUGCCUGGCUUGAGAGGAGUGGAGGCCGCCGGAACGGACGGUGUAGCGGUGAAAUGCAUAGAUAUCGGCCAGAACGCCGAUGGCGAAGGCAGGUGGCUAGGCUGCGUCUGACACUGAGGCACGAAAGCGUGGGGAGCGAACAGG
rnacentral:rRNA from 1 species